rnacentral:lncRNA from 1 species
CGCGGAGUCCGGCCGGACUUUGUCAAUAGCAGUGGCCGAAGUGCAAGCUGCAACAAUUUGUAACAGAGGGAUAGAAUUUUUGAAUAAUACCUUGAUUAUUAGCUACAUCGCGUCUUGGUCGUGGUUAUACAGACGACCUGUGGAUCCUGCUCUCAUCCCUGGUAAUCAGCGGUAACAUCAAAAUAAAACAUAACUUCGGUGUUCCGGCUUAAGUUGGUGUGAUUCGACGGUGAGUGGAAAGUCCGUUUGAUCUCGCCACAUGUAGGCUGUGGCUUGCUGAAUCAUCCGCUCUCUCCACAGCUAAGUUGUUGAGUCAGAUGAUUGUUGCACGUGAAAAAUAUGCAGUGAAGGCGGCAGAAUCGGCAGCGGCGACAUCAAAGGUGGUCACAGUAGAGGCAGAGACAGCAGUAGUGUAGCGGCGGCGGCAAUGGCGAUGGCGCCAGGGUUCUUGGGUUGGGUGAAGGGUUCACCUGGCAAGAGGCUUACAAGCCCAGGGACUGCGGAGUCGGUGGUGAUGCUAUUUUCCCUAGGCAGUGUUAAUGCACGCAGCGUGCCUUGUGCAGUAGUGUCGUGCUGUAGUGUCAUGCCUUGCGCUUUACAACAGGCGAUUUUCCCAACCCGGGUGGAUAUCCUCACCGCGAUGCACUGCUAAUAUUGUGCAGGUGAAAAUGCCCAUGUCAGCCAGGGUGACGUCAAAGCCAGGGUGACGUCAUAGCACAACUCCGCGCCUGAAAUGAUGCCCUUAUCGAAGAGGUCCGGGCGUUAAGGGCACUGGUGUUCUUCGCGAAUCAAGGGCACGACAUGCGCAGGUUUCUGACCCCUGGCCGCACCCCCGGCACUAGCCAGGUUCCUCUCGGAAGUCUGGGAGACCCGGCACCCAGCUCGAAGGUGCUUCGUGCUCAAGCGGGCGAGGGAGGACGAUGAUGGCCCACCACGGCACUAAAACCGAUCUACCGUCCAUGGACCCCCCGGUUUUUAUGGACACCCCCGUACUUGUGUGCGGGACUUGUAAGUUGUAACUUGCUAGAUUCGCGCAGCAUCGAUGCUGCGCAUCGGUAUCCAGGUAGGGAUGCAGUCAUGUAGGGUUAGGGGGGAAAUGUAGGUUGCAUUUGUGUGUGGUGAGAAAAGGGAGAUUUGCAGGAUCAUUUUCUGCUGGUAAGAUGUGGGUAUGGACUAGGGAACAGCAGGUCGUUGGUUUCGGUUGGUUUUUAGUUAUGUAUGUUCAAUAAAAGGGUUCCAGCUGAUUGGAGCGGCCUUUCAGAGGUGUGCAUUGCAGGAGGGAGUACAGCUUCCGGAGGGACUGGUGCUGCAUGUACUGCAGUGGCGCGGCAGGAAUUGGAUAGGAUCAUAGGGGAUGUGGUGCGCAGUACUGGUGGUAUUCACAUCGCAGGACACCAUCUGUGUGCUAAUUAAGUGCUUUGGUCUGGUUUGUAACUCGCUGUAUGUGUAAAACCUAAGACAUCAUAGUGCUGUAUUUGUCGGUCUGCUUGUUCAGCGUUGCCUUGGCCUCGGACUGGACAAGGCUGCAGCCCCACGGCUGUCAUGGUGUGGAACUUGUAACUUGUAACGGGCACGAUGUUUGCGCACUGCUCGCCUGCUUUCCUCCACAGUUUUGACUCCCAGAGACUCCGAGGACUCCCCUUCCUCUGAGGACUCAGAGGCCCGUCCGGAUCCUCCCCCCCCUGUCGCUAAAAUGUCGUGACACCCCCCCCCCCCCGGGGCACUGAGGUCUCCAUCACACCGAGCA